ensembl:lncRNA
AUGGGGAUUCCCAGGAGCUGUGGGAGCUCUGGUGCAUGGAUUGCCUUCUUGUAGUGCCAUGUGAAGGAGAGGAGGCUUUGCUUAGUGAAGCAGGAUGGGUCCGGUGGGAAAAAUGAGAGCUAAUCAGAGCGAUGCUCUCCAGCAGGCUUCUGUGCGCGGCGUUACAGUGAAAUCUGAAAUUCCUUUUGCUGCUCAUGCAUACAAAGCAGGAAGAGCGAGCACGGCUGCAGACUGUUUGUGCUUUCAGAUGGUUUUGCCAAGGAGAAAACAACAGGGUAGCGGGAAGAAAGCACACUUGCUCGGAAACACGUCUGGAGUGCAGCUCCCCAGGGCUCACCCUAGGGCAGGGCAGGGGCACAGAGAGCCCUGCAGCCAUCCCAGCAUACACCCACACCUCCUGCUGCACGGCGGGGUCAGCAGCCUGCAGAGGAACAUGCGGGACACGUCGUUCCUCCUGCCCUGCUCGGCAGCCCUGCUGCGCAGUGUCACAUGAAGCGAAGCACUGAUUAGAAAGUAUUCAUAGAAUGGCUUGGGUUGGAAGAGACCCUGAAGACCACCCAGUUCCGACCCCUGCGUGGGUUGGGCACCCUCUGCAGCUUAGGCUGCCCAGGCCCUACCAGCCUGGCCUUGGGUCCCUCCAGGGAUGGGGCAUUAGGUGGGUCCCUCUGGCUUGCUGCACACAGCCGUGGUGGCUGGGAACAAGCACCCAUCUGUUUUCUUUGUUUCCAAGUGACACUCAGUCCCCGAGAUUAUCUCCCCUUGACUGUGACAACGUGGAAGAAGGCAUUGGGAUCGACAAGCAGACAAGUGCUCCCGUGUUCCACAUCCAUCCAUCUGAUGCGGGCUCGUUGCAGGCGGAACCCCUCCCUGCGAUGUCUUACGACUCGGAAGUGCAGGAUGGAAGCUGACCCCACCUGCUGGUGCUGCGCAGCAAAGCUCACAGCCUGGGCCCAUUGGUCACAAACUCAGCUCCACAUUUCACCCUCCCUCUGUACAACGGACACAUCACCUGGAAGGCACCGUCAGCUUCUAGGCCGUUUUACACAUGGCAGUGCAUCCCUCUUGGGAGAAGACUGAUGGCACGGCGAGCAGAAGGCACACACGGGG